GUGCUUGCUUUGGUGGCACAUAUACUAACAUUGGAACAAUACAGAGAAGAUUAGCAUGGCACCUUUGCAAGGAUGACAUGCAAAUUGGUAAGGCAUUCCAUAUUUAA